rnacentral:rRNA from 1 species
AAAUGUAGCACGUACGUAGACAUGAUCCGUUGAUCAGCUGACGAUAUAGAGUACGUUGCUACCGAUUGGUAUGAGCAGCGAACGGGUGAGUAACGCGUGGGGAAUCUGCCUUUGAGCGGGGGACAACAUUUGGAAACGAAUGCUAAUACCGCAUAAUAGCUUUAAACAUAAGUUUUAAGUUUGAAAGAUGCAAAUGCAUCACUCAAAGAUGAUCCCGCGUUGUAUUAGCUAGUUGGUGAGGUAAAGGCUCACCAAGGCGAUGAUACAUAGCCGACCUGAGAGGGUGAUCGGCCACAUUGGGACUGAGACACGGCCCAAACUCCUACGGGAGGCAGCAGUAGGGAAUCUUCGGCAAUGGACGAAAGUCUGACCGAGCAACGCCGCGUGAGUGAAGAAGGUUUUCGGAUCGUAAAACUCUGUUGUUAGAGAAGAACGACGAGGAGAGUGGAAAGCUCCUCGUGUGACGGUAUCUAACCAGAAAGGGACGGCUAACUACGUGCCAGCAGCCGCGGUAAUACGUAGGUCCCGAGCGUUGUCCGGAUUUAUUGGGCGUAAAGCGAGCGCAGGUGGUUUAUUAAGUCUGGUGUAAAAGGCAGUGGCUCAACCAUUGUAUGCAUUGGAAACUGGUAGACUUGAGUGCAGGAGAGGAGAGUGGAAUUCCAUGUGUAGCGGUGAAAUGCGUAGAUAUAUGGAGGAACACCGGUGGCGAAAGCGGCUCUCUGGCCUGUAACUGACACUGAGGCUCGAAAGCGUGGGGAGCAAACAGGAUUAGAUACCCUGGUAGUCCACGCCGUAAACGAUGAGUGCUAGAUGUAGGGAGCUAUAAGUUCUCUGUAUCGCAGCUAACGCAAUAAGCACUCCGCCUGGAGAGUACGACCGCAAGGUUGAAACUCAAAGGAAUUGACGGGGGCCCGCACAAGCGGUGGAGCAUGUGGUUUAAUUCGAAGCACGCGAAGAACCUUACCAGGUCUUGACAUACUCGUGCUAUUCCUAGAAGAUAGGAGUUCCUUCGGGACACGGGAUACCGGUGGUGCAUGGUUUGUCGUUCAGCCUCGUGGUCCGUGGAGAU